rnacentral:lncRNA from 1 species
AAACAUUCUCGAAUGUUUUCAGGAGAAACAAAAUCAGCAGCAACUUUGGUACACGACUGGAAAGUUGAAAACGGUUGGUUACUUGAUGAACUUGAUCAUCUGGAUUUUCAUGGAUUAUAUAAGUAUGAUUCUUACCUUGAGAUUACGCACUUGGUGAGGGCAUCCUGCAGGAAUGAAAACUGCCUCUCCAAGUCUUUGCUCGAAUGUCCAAGGUUCAAUCCCUAAAAUGGUAAGCAUCCACAUUUUGAGUUUAUUAAACAAAAUGUGAUCCUUGUUCUUAAGGAAAGAUAACGAACAAGGUAAAUUACUAACCGAAUUCUUCCUUCAGUUUUCUCUUGUGCUCCAUAGUUAGGUAGAAGCUCUGGUCAUGGAUUGGAUGAAAAACCUGAUCAACCGGACAACAGAAAGUGUGCCUAAAUUCCUUUGCAUGCUUUAAAAGAUACUCAUUCAACUUGGGUACGUCUUCCCUUCUGAAAAUGUCCCACAAGGCACCUCCAGUUGUCUCUGAAUCAUCAGAGGUUUUCUCCUCCCCUCUAAUAUCACUAGACAUCUUCAUAGGAUAUUCAUCAGCCUCACAUUUGAGGCGCUCUCUUUCAUCUUGAGUUCUAUGCCUCUGUUUCACUAUUUCAAUUGCAGACUGCUGCUCAUCAGUUAUAGCCAUCUCUGCUGUGUGUGUCAAAAUAUUUAUCUGACCAAUUCAAAAUUUUAAAAUAUUAGCUUGUCAUGAAAUGAGCCUGAAAAAGUAAUGGUUGCAAUCUUAGCAGGUAAUGCAUCAUGGACAGAAUACUGAACUGGGAAAAGCAAUAAACUGCUAUCAAGGUGAGAAUAAACAUAAAACUAGAUUGUGGCAUGUGGUUUAAUUUACCUGGAAUGUGACAAUUGUCAAAAUAUAUUGUAUAGGACUGGCCAUGAGGUUUAUGAGUCUCACUAGACAACAUAAGGCAGAAGAGAUUGGAUGAAUGUGGUGGUUCUAUAUAUUUGGAAUAAAAUGUUAGUUUUUCACCCAUUUUGGAAUUUUCAUACAAUUGAGAUACCUUCUUACCAGGUCCUUGUCGAUUUGGUCAUAGUUUUUGGAUGUGAGCUAAGGUAAUAUCCUCCAAGUUGUGAUUUCAAGUAUUAACCAGGGCUAUUCACAAGUCAACACAUAUAUUAAGGAGGUGGCAUUGACAUGAGAAUAAAGUGAAGAAAUCAAAUGAAUGAACUACAAUAGUCCCGUCAAAAUCAUACCGCAUCUGACAUAUCACAGUGAAGCUUUGUCACUGAAUCCCCUCU